GGUUUCGUAGGUGACCUGCGGAGGWCAUUACCAGAUUCCAUACCAAAAGACAGUGGGGAGAGAGAGAGUGCAUAACCACUUGUGGAGACCUGCCGUACCGUGACUGGCGUGUUCCGGCGCGGCACCUAGGGCGUCCACGGUUCAGGGCGGGCCAGCCAGGGAACCACAUCCGUGUAGUCAAAUCCACGCUGCCUGGUCGUCAAUCCAGGCAGUACAAGGAGCCGGAUCGAGCAUUAAACGCUCUGCACCCAUCCCACGCAGUUGGGUGAAGGUGCAGAGCGGAUUUCUGUAGCUAAAGGAGGCACCCCUGGAAAGCGGCGGAGGAGGCAAGCAGGGCUGAAACAAACCCCUGCCACUGCGUCGUUUCCCCUGUGGCUGUGGGUGUAAAGACCCACAGCGACUCGCACCGCGGCAGGACACCACUCUUAGGUUUAGCAUGCUCUCGCCACUGUCCCAAUCAAAACCCUCUGUGUACCCUUCCCAGUUGCUUCCCCCGGGGAACUGGCUCCGGCCAGCCGGGGGGAGAAACCAAGCAAAAACCCUUUUUUCGCAAAACAGACGUCCGAAUUUAAAAACAAAACAAAAAGUUAAAACUUUCAACAACGGAUCUCUUGGUUCCCACAUCGAUGAAGAACGCAGCGAAAUGCGAUAAGUAAUGUGAAUUGCAGAAUUCAGUGAAUCAUCGAAUCUUUGAACGCACAUUGCGCCCUCUGGUAUUCCGGAGGGCAUGCCUGUUCGAGCGUCAUAAAUACCGCUCCCCCUCGGAUUGCUUGCGAUCCCUGGGGGGUUCUGGCAAUGUGGUCUCCCCGUGCUUUGAGGGCAUGCGAACGGGCUCCCAGUGCUGAAAGACAUAACGUUCCCGGCCGAAACCGGUGAUUAAUUUCACCGGCAGGAUUCGUGGCAGGCAGACUGAGGGCGUCAACCGUGGAGUCAUGAGGAUAGAAACCUCCCCCUUUGCAAGUAACAUUGCUCUGGCAGUUAGAUCUGCAGGCCUGCCGGUCUGGGGAUGGACCUCCCACUCGCAGGCGUCACGGCCACGAUAGCGGGCGUUAAACGGAAUCCGAUCCGCCUUCACCGGUGGUUGAAGAUCCUUGUGGGCUAGCAACCCCUAAACAUAUUUGACCUCGGAUCAGUAGCA
rnacentral:rRNA from 1 species